CAUGUAGGCGGAUUAAUAAGUUUGAAGUGAAAUCCUAUAGCUUAACUAUAGAACUGCUUUGAAAACUGUUAAUUUAGAAUGUGGGAGAGGUAGAUGGAAUUUCUGGUGUAGGGGUAAAAUCCGUAGAGAUCAGAAGGAAUACCGAUUGCGAAGGCGAUCUACUGGAACAUUAUUGACGCUGAGACGCGAAAGCGUGGGGAGCAAACA
rnacentral:rRNA from 1 species